AGAACGAACGCUGGCGGCAAGCCUAACACAUGCAAGUCGAACGGACAAUUGUUUAUAUCUUUGGUAUAAAUAAUUGUUAGUGGCAGACGGGUGAGUAAUGCGUAGGAAUCUACCUAGUAGUAUGGAAUAGCCAUUAGAAAUGAUGGGUAAUACUGUAUAAUCCCUGCGGGGGAAAGAUUUAUCGCUAUUAGAUGAGCCUACGUUAGAUUAGCUAGUUGGUAAGGUAAUGGCUUACCAAGGCUAUGAUCUAUAGCUGGUCUGAGAGGACGAUCAGCCACACUGGAACUGAGAUACGGUCCAGACUCCUACGGGAGGCAGCAGUGGGGAAUAUUGGACAAUGGGCGAAAGCCUGAUCCAGCUAUGCCGCGUGAGUGAAGAAGGCCUUCGGGUUGUAAAGCUCUUUCAAUAGGGAAGAUAAUGACGGUACCUAUAGAAGAAGUCCCGGCAAACUCCGUGCCAGCAGCCGCGG
rnacentral:rRNA from 1 species